GAGCAAUGAGGAUAUUGUACCUAUGUGAUGGUAGGGUCUAUCACUAUCAUCUGAUAUCAUGAUGACAAAUUGGUGUAGCUGAGCUC